CCCAGCACUUUGGGAGGCACAGCAACCUGCACGUUAGUCUUAUGCUCUGAUGGAAAUGACUUGCAUUAUGCUGCCGUGUGUUACUGUCAGGACUUGACUGGUGUGCUCACACU